ensembl:lncRNA
CCUGGGAAGUGUCCUCAGAUGCCACAGACACAAGACACACACUCCUCCCUCGCUGUUCCCUUGACAAUGAGAGAAGCCCAGCAAUCACCUUAACAGCUCUAGAAGGGACAGCUUCAAGUCAUGCAUGGACCUGACCUCAGAAAGGCCAUCACAUUUGGACAUAGUGCUCUAUAUUUUCAAUCAGUACUAGGCCCUGCAAAUACUGCAACCAGUCUUGGUCCUAAGAAACAGAAAUGUCCCUUUUCCUCCUUUUGAAAGUGAAAAAAUGAAAUUGUUAGUGGCUCUAUCAUGUCCAACUCUUUGCAACCCCGAGGACUGUAGCCCACUAGGCUCCUCUGCCCACAGGACUCUCCAGCCAUUGCACGUGACCAGUCCCUUCCCAUUAAGCCAUGCAGGCUACCUGUUUAGCUGUGGAAUCCAGGCCAGCUUUGCGGCCUGCACUGGCAACAAACCACCAGGGAAAGAGCGAUAUACCCAGGCUGCAGUUACACCUCUCCUGCUUCUGUUCUCUCUCUCUCUGGGAAUCUUGCCACCAUCACAAAUACAAGCCCAGGCCGGUCUUCCGGAGGAGAGACUGAGUACAGGUCCUACAUGCUUCAACACUCCAGGCCACGUUCUCUGUUCUCAGGACUCUUCCCAGAUGGCAGUGACAAUUUUCCUACCCACUAAAUCCCCUGUUCCCUGAAGUUGUUCGUUCCUAUUGAUGUGUUCAAAACUAGUUCUGGUGUUGGCCAUCCAGAACCAGCUAUAUCUCAAGUCUGAUCCCUCUUUUGCCUCAAUUUUCUCGCUUGUCUAAUGGGAAUAGAUAAUAGUUCUACAUUUCAGGGUUGUUAUAAGGAUUAAGAGAAAUAUUUAUAGAGCACUUGGGGUAACAUUGACACAUGCCGAGGCAUUAUUUGUUACCUGCUGUCAUCAUCAGCAUUGUCAUCUUCAUCAAGACAUCACCACUAUCCUUGGUAUGGACACCGCAUGAAACCACUGAAAAAACACUGAGGUUUCAGGAUUUAUUCAUAAGACCUCAGUGCAGUUCAGUCGCUCAGUCCCAUCUGACUCUUUGCGAUCCCAUGGACUACUGUACGCGAGGCUUCCCUGUCCAGCACCAACUCCCGGAGCUUACGCAAACUCAUGUGUUCACGAGUCGGUGAUGCCCUCUAACCAUCUCCUAGCAUGCACUAAUUAAUCUGUUUCUAAAGCUGAAAUUUGACCUUCUUAAAACCCUCCGAUUUCUGCCCCUCAUCUUUGGGAUGUGGUCCAGGGUUCUCUGGUUCUGGACCUGUUUAGCAUUCUAACCUCAUCUUCCACCACUAAAGUCACACACUUCAUUUUCCAGUAACAUCCAAG